ensembl:lncRNA novel transcript
UGGGGCUGCAGAUCUAGUCUUCAGUUCACAGAGAACUGCCCCCCAACUGCUCCCCCGUACUCUGCUCCUACAGGCCCAGCUGCUGUGGCUGUGCGACCUGCAGGGACUGGCAGACCCGUAGCUAAGACGCCAGGAUUUCCUGGAAGCAGAGAAAUGUGACCAUAGUGUCUUCAGACCUGAAACUGAAUUGGAGACUGUUAGGCCCAGAAGAACAAUUAGGGUGACGUGUGCAUUGAGUAAACCCAGACCUGGUCACCUGUCUGGAGCAAAGGAAAAAGCCAUGGAGUAUGAAGCAUCCAGGCCGAUUUCACUACUAGAUCUCAAGUGACUCUUGAAGAAAGGUUUGAGUACAGUGGCAUGAUUGCAGCUUACUGCAGCCUUGGAUUCCCUAGGCUUACGUGAUCCUCCUACCUCAGCCUCCUGUUUACUGGUACCACAGCUGUGUUCUCAUUUCACCCAAGACCUUUGGCUAGAUCAGAACAUAAAAAAUUCAUUUCAAAAAGUGAUACUGAGAAGAUAUGAGAAAUCUAGACAUGAGAAUUUACAAAUAAGAAAAGGCUGUAAAAGUUUGAAUGCAUCUAAGUUGCAGGAAGGAGGUUAUAAUGGACUUAACCAAUGUUUGUCGGUUACUCAGAGCAAAAUACUUCAAUGUAAUACAUGUGUGAAAGUCUUUAGGAAAUUUUCAAAUUCAAAUAGACUUAGGAGAAGACAUACUGGAGAGAAACCUUUCAAAUGUAAAGAAUGUGGCCAAUUCUUUCACAGGUUCUCACACCUAAGACAACAUGAGAUAAUUCAUACUGAAGAGAAACCCUACCAACAUGAAGAAUGUGGCAAAGAUUUUAAGCAGUCUUCAGGUCUUACUAUACAUGAGAGAAUUCAUACUAAAGAGAGACCCUACAAGUGUGAAGAAUGUGACAAAGCCUUUAAACAAUCUUCAAAACUGAAUAAACAUAAGAAAAUUUAUACUGGAGAUACAACCUACAAAUGUGAAGAAUGUGGCAAAGCCUUUUCCUAUUCCUCAACCGUUACUCAACAUAACAUAGUUCAUACUGAAGACAAACCCUACAAAUGUGAAGACUGUGGCAAAGCUUUGAAGUAGUCUUCAAACCUGACUAUGCGUAAGAUUAUUCAUAUGGGAGAGAAACCCUACAAAUGUGAUGAAUGUGGCAAAGCCUUUAGAAUAUCCUCAAAACUGAAAGAACAUAAAAGAAUUCAUACUUGAGAGAAACCCUAUAAAUAUGAAGAAUGUGGCAAAGCUUUUUACUGUUCCUCAGGCCUUACUCAACAUAACAUAGUUCAUACUGGAGACAAACCCUACAAAUAUAAAGAUUGUGGCAAAAUUUUUAAGUGGUUUUCAGACCUUACUAUACAUCAGAGAAUUCAUAGUGGAGAGAAACCCUAGAAAUGUGAAGAAUGUGGCAAAGCCUUUAAACAAUCCUCAAAACUGAAUGAACAUAUGAGAACUCAUACUGGAGAGAAAUCCUACAAAUGCGAAGAAUGUAGCAAAGCUUUUAAGCAACCUUCAGGCCUUACUCUACAUAAGAGAAUUCAUACUGGAGAGAACCCUUACAAAUUCGAAGAAUGUGGUAAAGCCUUUUAUUGGUUGUUAAGCUUUACUAAACAUAAUUGAUAGGGGAGAGAAACCCUACAAAUGUCAAGAAUGUGGCAAAGCUUUUAAGUGGUCUUCAAACCUUACUAUACACAAGAGAAUUCAUACGGGAGAGAAACCCUGCAAAUGUGAAGAAUGUGGCAAAGCUUGUAAGCAGUCUUUGGGCCUUACUAUACAAAAGAGAAUUCAUAAUGAAGAGAAACCCUACAAAUGUGAAGAAUGUGAUAAAGCCUUUUACUGGUCCUUAAGCUUUACUAAACGUAAGAUAGUUCAUACUGGAGAGAAGCACUACAAAUGUCAAGAAUACGUCAAAGCUUUUAAGCGUCUUCAAACCUUACUAUACAUAAGAGAAUUCAUACUGGAGAGAAACCCUACAAUUGUGAAAAAUGUGGCAAAGCCUUUUACUGUUCCUCACACCUUAUUCAACAUAACAUAGUUCAUACUGAAGAGAAACACUACAAAUGUCAAGAAUGUGGCAAAGCUUUUAAGAAGUCUUUAGACCUUAAUGUACAUAAGAUAAUUCAUAGUGGAGAGAAACCCUACAGAUAUGAAGAAUGUGGCAGUCUUUAAACAAUCCUCAAACCUGAAUGAACGUAAGAUAACUCAUAGUGGAGAGGAAUCCUACAAAUGUGAAGAAUGUGGCAAAGGCUUUAAACAAUCCUCAAACCUGAAUGAACAUAAGAUAACUCAUAGUGGAGAGGAAUCUUACAAAUGUGAAGAAUGUGGCAAAGGCUUUUACUGUUCCUCAAGCCUUACUAAGCAUAAGAUAGUUCAUACUGAAGAGAAACCAUACAAAUGUGAAGAAUGUGGCAAAGCUUUUAAGUGGUCCUCUGAACUUACUAUACAUCAGAGAAUUCAUACUGAAGAGAAACCCUGUAAAUGUGAAGAAUGUAUCAGAGUCUUUAAACACUCCUCAAAACCGAAUGAACAUAAGAGAAAUCAUACUGGAGAGAAACCCUACAAAUGUGAAGCAUGCGGCAAAGCUUUUUAAGCAGUCUUCAGGCCUUACUAUACAUAAGAGAAUUCAUACUGGAGAGGAAUCCAGAAAUGUGAAGAAUGUUGCAAAACCUUUUACUGGUCUUUAAGCUUUACUAAACAUAAGAGAGUUCAUAUUGGAGAGAUACCCUACAAAUGUCAAGAAUGUGGCAAAACUUUUUCUUGUUCCUCAAGUUUACUCAACAUAAGAGAGUUCAUACUGAAGAGAAAUCCCACAAAUGUAAAGAAUGUGGGAAAGCCUUUAACCAGUCCUUAAGCCUUACUAAACUUAUGAGAAUUCAUACUGGAAAAAAAUCAUACAAAUUGGAAGACUGUGGCAAAAUCUUUUAAGUAUUGCUCAAAUAUAUCCAGCCAUAAUUCAUACUAAAGAUUAUGCCUAUGAACCUAAGGAAGUUUGGCAAAGCUUAUGAAUACACCUCAAACUUUCCUAAGCCUUGGAGAAAUAUCAGUGAGAAACCUCAGAAAACUGAACAAUGUGGCAAGCCCUUUAAAUGGUUGUCACAUCUUACUGUAGGUAAAAUAAUUGAUAGUGGAGAAAAUCUCUACAAACAAAGAAUGUGUCAAAACUUCUAACAUGCUCAUACUUUAUGGCACAUAAAAGCGUUUAUACUUGAAAAAUUAUACAGAGUGUGGAAAAGCCAUUUCUAUCUGCUCACAUCAUAGUCAACAUCAGGAAGUUCAUACUUAAUAAAAUUAUUAUAAAUGUAAUUACUGUUCAAAGACCUUGGAAAAUAUAAACCCUUAAAAUAAAAAAGAGUAUUCUGGAGACAAACAUUACAAAUAUAAAGAGGGUUGUAAUACCUUUACUUGCCCUAUAUAAUGUACAGAUUUUACACUAGAAGAAAACUCUAAAGGAAUUACUCAAACUUGUUUGGCAUCAGAGAAUUUAUGUUGAAGGAAACCGUACAAAUGUAAUAAGUGUGGAAAAACAUUUGUUCAGAAACUACAGCUUACAAAACACCACACAGUUUAUAAUAAAAAAUAUUUUUGCAGAUGGAAUACAUAUGUAAAAAUAUUUAGUCAAAAUUAAGUCUUUGUAAACUUUAGAAAAUUCACGGUAGGGAGAACUAAGGCACUGGCACUUAAGACGUUACACUAAAUCAGAAUGUUCUGUAAAGAAAGUAAUCCAAAGCUAAAACUGUUGGAUAAUUUAUUUGUAUAUAAGUUUAAGAGGAGUGGAAGGUUAUUUUUUGGAGAGUUAAAAUUACAUUCAAGGUAUACGUUUUUCCUUGAAAAAAGUGUAAGUUUUUUGAAAAGCAAGUAGGUAAUUCAACUGUAAAAUUGCUUCAUGCUGUUCCUUUUUUCCUGUUGUUUGUGUAAAAGCAUGUCAUCAAUUUCUGUUGCAUCAGAAAUCUGAGAGAUUCCUUUCUUAUUAGGUAGGCAUCAUUCAUUAAUUUUUCCAUGGAAGAGUAAGGAUAUUAAAAUGUAAGAUGAUAAUGAAAAUCUGAUUGGAGAGGCUCUUUAUGGCUGACUUUUAACAUUGUUCAUGUGAUGCAUGAGUUAUGUGUUUAGAGUAAUAUUCUGCAUUAUAGUGAGAGGAAAACUUUGAGUUUUAGUAGUAAAUUGUUUUACCAAUUGUACUUUUAUGUAAUAAAAUGUAGGGAAUUUUAAAAUUCUUUUAUAAGACUGUGAUAACUUAACUUUUAAAUUAAACGAAAUGGUUUUAAACUUUUUAAGACGUGCAUUUAGUAAAGUGUUAUGUCACCAACUUUAACGUAUCCCACUGUAUUAAAGAUGUAGAUAAAAGAUGGUAACAUAGUAGAAUGACCUCUCUAGCAAUCUCUUUUGCCUGUGGCAUUAAACUGAAAAGUUUAACAGUAUUGUUUCAAUGGGUAAAAUGUACAUUUGUUUAACUUUUUAAAUUUUUGUAGGAACAUAAUAUUGUUUACCUAUUUAUGGCAUAUAUAGAAUAUUUUCAUACAGGCAUACAAUUUGUAAUCACAUCAGAGUAAAUGAGGUAUUCAUUACCUAAUGCAUUUUUUUUGUAUUACAGACAAUCCAUUUAAACAUUUUUAGUUAUCUAAAAAUGUACAAGUAAAUUAUUACUUGCUACAGAGGUUUUUUAUCGUCUUGAUAAUAAUUACAUAGUAGUAUAAUAAAUCUCACAUUUCUAAGUCCUGAAUGAAUAUUUUUAAAAAUUUGUCAUAUAUAUUUUGAACAAGUGGACUCUCUGCCUGUAAACUCAUGCAGACUGUUAGUUUUUACUUACAUGAUGCUAAAUAUACAAAUAUAUUACUCUUAAGAUAAACAUUAGGUGUAAGAAAAUUGUGGGGCAAGUAAUUGUGUGUGAGAGUACCUAUUUUCAGAAGACAAGCAAUAUUGGAACAAAAUAUCACUUUAAUAAAG